rnacentral:lncRNA from 1 species
CAACGGUGAGCUUGGAUAGAUUUUAUCUGGGUUUGGUCUCGUCGCCGUCGGGAGAACUAGUGGGGGGAGAAAAUGAUGUAUUGAUGCGUGUAGCAUGGGGGAUUAACUGGGACAUGAUUUAACCUGAGGAAGGGGUACUUUGCAAGAUAGAAAUGCUGGAGGCGGGCGCUUUGCUGCAAAAGUUUCCAUAAGACAGCAGGCUCCCACGAUUACGAUCGACUGGUUCCAAAUCGUCGGAUACACGGAUGCACGGAGGUAGGAGGAUUCACUGGAUACGUCGCCCUUUUCCACGGUCUAUUAGGUGUUACACUUUGUGCCACUUGGUGUUUCAAAAAAAGAAAAAGAAAGAUUUGUC